UACGGAGGGUGCAAGCGUUAUCCGGAUUUACUGGGUUUAAAGGGCGCGUAGGCGGCCUGUUAAGUCGAACGUGAAAUCCCCGGGCUCAACCCGGGAACUGCGUCCGAAACUGGCAGGCUUGAAUCCGGGGAGAGGGAUGUGGAAUUCCAGGUGUAGCGGUGAAAUGCGUAGAUAUCUGGAGGAACAUCGGUGGCGAAGGCGACAUCCUGGACCGGUAUUGACGCUGAGGCGCGAAGCCAGGGAGC
rnacentral:rRNA from 1 species